UACGAGGGGGGCGAGCGUUGUUCGGAAUUACUGGGCGUAAAGCGCGCGCAGGCGGUUCUCCAAGUCAGUGGUGAAAGCCCGGAGCUCAACUCCGGAAUUGCCAUUGAAACUGUUGAACUUGAGGAUGAGAGAGGUGAGUGGAAUUCCCAGUGUAGCGGUGAAAUGCGUAGAUAUAUGGAAGAACACCAAUAACGGCGAAGGCAGUUAACUAUUCUGUUACUGACAUUGAGGCACGAAAGCGUGGGGAGCAAAACGG
rnacentral:rRNA from 1 species